rnacentral:rRNA from 1 species
UACGAAGGGGGGCUAGCGUUGCUCGGAAUCACUGGGCGUAAAGGGUGCGUAGGCGGGAUCUUAAGUCAGAGGUGAAAGCCUGGAGCUCAACUCCAGAACUGCCUUUGAUACUGGGAUUCUUGAGUUCGGGAGAGGUGAGCGGAACUGCGAGUGUAGAGGUGAAAUUCGUAGAUAUUCGCAAGAACACCAGUGGCGAAGGCGGCUCACUGGCCCGAUACUGACGCUGAGGCACGAAAGCGUGGGGAGCGAACAGG